AUGUAGGUGUGGUGAAUGUGUUUU
rnacentral:siRNA from 1 species